rnacentral:rRNA from 1 species
GGAGGAAAGCAGGGGAUCGCAAGACCUUGCGCUUUUGGAGCGGCCGAUGUCUGAUUAGCUAGUUGGUGAGGUAAAGGCUUACCAAGGCGUCGAUCAGUAGCUGGUCUGAGAGGACGACCAGCCACACUGGGACUGAGACACGGCCCAGACUCCUACGGGAGGCAGCAGUGGGGAAUUUUGGACAAUGGGGGAAACCCUGAUCCAGCCAUGCCGCGUGAGUGAAGAAGGCCUUCGGGUUGUAAAGCUCUUUCAGCCGGAACGAAACGGUCACGGUUAAUACCCGUGACUACUGACGGUACCGGAAGAAGAAGCACCGGCUAACUACGUGCCAGCAGCCGCGGUAAUACGUAGGGUGCAAGCGUUAAUCGGAAUUACUGGGCGUAAAGCGUGCGCAGGCGGUUUUGUAAGUCAGAUGUGAAAUCCCCGGGCUUAACCUGGGAACUGCGUUUGAAACUACAAGGCUAG